UUGAAACACAGGUUCUCCUACGAUCACCGAAGUUAAGCAAAGUCGAGCCUGGUCAAUAGCUAGAUAGGUGACCGCUGAGGAAUAUCAGGUGCAGUAA